UGAUUCUCCUACUUUUUUUCCUGACGGUUGAUCUCACUUCUCGUCUGGGUGCCUCCCUUGCCCUAACAUGAAAUGCUUAUAAAUACCAUCUUCACCUCCUGAGUCCACAAGAAAGCAUGGAGCAAGGGUUUAAGAAGUGAAAAACCCUAAGAAUAGAUGUUAUAUUUUAUGAGUUGAACCAGCUUUAUGCUACAAACCAUUCUGUUUUCUUUGCUUUUUAUGAUCAAUUUUGUAUGUUUGGGGUCAGACUGAAUCUGGGUAUUUCAUUUUUGGGUUUGAAAUUGUUCUAUUUAGUUGUAUUCUUACCUCUUGGGAUUAUUUAGCACGAAUGGAACGAUUCAAUAGGGUAUUUGCUGAUUUAUCAUGGUGUUUCCAUGAAAGGGUGCAGUGUAUCACUGCAUAUCUAUCUGCUUAUCUGUAUUUUGUGGUUGGAAUUUUUAGGGUUUAUAAGAAGAUGCUGCAGAAUAGCCUAAAUGUGAGUUGACUUCAAUAUGGCAGCUGGGUUUCCACCCAUUUUGUAUUAAGUGCUUUUGGGUUGAGAUCAUAAUCCUUUCUGUUGUGAUGGGUCAAUGGAAUAGCUGAGCUCCCUUAUGAUAUAUGAUUUUGAGGUUUUAGUAUAUGGUUUAGACUCAAUGUAAAGUGAAUAAACUGCAUUAGUAAAGAGGUUUCAUGAUCAUUGAACGAUCAGUUACCUAAUCUUGAUGUGCAAAAAGAAAUGGGGGAAUCCGCUUUGCAGCUUAAACAUAACAUGUUUCGGUUGCCUGUAAUUUCCCGAAACUAUUCCCGAAUUUUAGGCCACAGAGAAACCUAAUUGUAUUUGCUUGAGACAAAACUGAAAUUUGGUCCAAUUGAUUCUUCUACUGCAAUGUGCUUUACUUUUAUCAACUUUGAUGUUAAUAUAGUGAUUAGAUUGCACUAGUACUAAGGUUCUGUGACCAUUGAAUGAUCGGUUACCUUAUCUCAAUGUGCAAAAGUAAAUGUUGGGAUCCGCUUUGCAGCUUAAAUGUUACAUCUUUAUUGCUGCCUGUAAUGCCCACACAUUGUUGAAAUGUUUUCGGAAGUGUAAGUGGAUUUGUUCGUCUAGUCCUGUUACAUCCUGUUACUAGCAUAUCAAUCCUUAAUGUGCAAUGCAAUUAUUUAGAUUACAUCUUGAUAUUGUCCUCCAGUAGAUUUGGUUUCGAUGUAUCUUAUGAAGGUGGGUUUGAUUAGAAAACUAGUAUAUUUGUUCCCAAACCCAUCUAGACAAAAGGGUUGGUAUGCAUAAUGAGCCUAGCGGAUCAUAAAGUUCGUUUCCAACUUCAAAACUGAGGUUUGGGAACUUGAUAAACAGUUUCCUACUAAGCUACAAACUGAAAUCCAUGUUCUAGUGGGUGAUAUGUUUAUAGACUGUUUGUUAAGAUUUGGUGAUGGUGAUGGAUUCCUUGAUGAUCAAUAUGGUUAUUUAGAUUACAUUUUGAACUUGCCCCCUGGUAGGUUUGGUUUUGAUCAAUAUUAUGAAGGUGGGUUUGAUUAACAAACUGGUAUGUUUGUUCCCAAACUCAUCUGGAGAAAAGGGUUGGUAUGAUUAUUGAGCCUGGCGGACCAUAAAGUUUGUCACCAACUUCAAAACUGAAGUUUGGGAACUCGAUAAACAGUUUGCUACUAAGCUACAAACUGAAAUCUAUGUUCUGUAAAACAGUGGGUGAUGUGUUCAUAGACUUUUUGCUAAGAUUUUUCUGAUGAUAGAAUCCUUUUUGUAGGCUUGAUAGUUGAAUUGCUGGUGGGUCAAUAUUUUGAAGCGAGCUUCAACAGGAUGAAGCAUCAAUUCAUGGUAUCUUAGAAACAACUUCAUGUAGGAAGCCUUACAAAAUUUGCACUAUGGCGUUUAAAGCGUCUGAAAUUAAGUUUUGAAACCUUGAGAAUUCCAUGGAAAACAUUUUGUUGAUGCAGUGUGAAAUGUGGAGUAGAUCAAGGAGGAAAAGUUCCC